rnacentral:rRNA from 1 species
ACGGGAGGCAGCAGUGGGGAAUAUUGGGCAAUGGGCGAAAGCCUGACCCAGCAACGCCGCGUGAAGGAAGAAGGUCUUCGGAUUGUAAACUUCUUUUAUAAGGGACGAAGGAAGUGACAGUACCUUAUGAAUAAGCCACGGCUAACUACGUGCCAGCAGCCGCGGUAAUACGUAGGUGGCAAGCGUUAUCCGGAUUUACUGGGUGUAAAGGGCGCGUAGGCGGGAAGGCAAGUCAGGUGUGAAAUCUAUGGGCUUAACCCAUAAACUGCACUUGAAACUGUCUUUCUUGAGUGCUGGAGAGGUAGACGGAAUUCCUUGUGUAGCGGUGAAAUGCGUAGAUAUUAGGAGGAACACCAGUGGCGAAGGCGGCUUACUGGACGAUAACUGACGUUGAGGCGCGAAAGCGUGGGGAGCAAACAGGAUUAGAUACCCUGGUA